AGAGUUUGAUCCUGGCUCAGGAUGAAUGCUGGCGGCGUGCCUAACACAUGCAAGUCGAGCGGCAGCGGGUUCUGCACUAUCAACUUGAAGCCUAGACGCGGGGAUUUCCGAAAGAAAUCAGCCGCAUCAUUUCGAAAGAGAUGAGUGUCUGGGGUGACUUCGAACUGAUAGUGCAGAGUGCCGGCGAGCGGCGAACGGCUGAGUAACGCGUAGGAAUUUGCCCCAAAGUGAGGGAUAACUGCCCGAAAGGGUAGCUAAUACCGCAUAUGGUCUUCGGAUUAAAGGAUUUAUCCGCUUUGGGAGAAGCCUGCGUUGGAUUAGGUUGUUGGUAGGGUAAUGGCCUACCAAGCCGACGAUCCAUAGCUGGUCUGAGAGGAUGAUCAGCCAGACUGGGACUGAGACACGGCCCAGACUCCUACGGGAGGCAGCAGUGAGGAAUCUUCCACAAUGGGCGAAAGCCUGAUGGAGCAACGCCGCGUGCAGGAUGAAGGCCUUCGGGUUGUAAACUGCUUUUAUAAGUGAGGAAUAUGACGGUAACUUAUGAAUAAGGAUCGGCUAACUACGUGCCAGCAGCCGCGGUCAUACGUAGGAUCCGAGCGUUAUCCGGAGUGACUGGGCGUAAAGAGUUGCGUAGGCGGUUUGUUAAGUGAAUAGUGAAAUCUGGUGGCUCAACCAUACAGGCUAUUAUUCAAACUGGCAAACUCGAGAGUGGUAGAGGUCACUGGAAUUUCUUGUGUAGGAGUGAAAUCCGUAGAUAUAAGAAGGAACACCGAUGGCGUAGGCAGGUGACUGGACCAUUUCUGACGCUAAGGCACGAAAGCGUGGGGAGCGAACCGGAUUAGAUACCCGGGUAGUCCACGCCGUAAACGAUGGAUACUGGCUGUUGGAGGUAUCGACCCCUUCAGUAGCGAAGCUAACGCGUUAAGUAUCCCGCCUGUGGAGUACGGCCGCAAGGCUAAAACAUAAAGGAAUUGACGGGGAC
rnacentral:rRNA from 1 species